CUGGCCCACUGGCUGAUAACCAACACCCUCGGGUCCUUUUCCACUGGCCAUACCUUCCCAAGCCUGUAGCACUAUGUGGGGUUGUUGUGACCCAAGGGCAGGAUCUGGCACUUUGUCUCAUUGAACAGCAAAAUUAGCCUCAACCCAUUGCUCCAGCUUGUCCAGAUCCUUCUGUAAAGCCCUUUUGCCCUCCAGCAGAUCAACACUCUCUCCCAGCUUGGUAUCAUCUGCAAACUUCCUGAGAGGACACAUUUGAUCCCUUGUCUAGAUCAUGGAUAAAGACAUUAAACAGCACUGGCCCUGGGGAACACCACUUGUGAUCAGCUUUGAACUGUGUUUAAUUCCAUUCACCCCCACUCUGGACCUGACCAUCAGCCGGGGUGAGCUGUACACCCAUCUGUGUGAUGAGCAGAUAGAUUUUCCAGGAGAGUGCUGUGAAAAAGUGUUGAAAAAUGGCUUUUCUGAAGUCCAGGUAGAUAACAACCAUAGCCUUUCCCUCAUCCAUUAAGUGGGUCACCUUGUCAUAGGAGAUUGGGUCAGUUAAGUAGGACCUGCCUUUCCAAAACUCAUGUUGGCUGGGCCCUUUUGCCUGGUUGUCCUGUACAUACCACAUAAUGGCACUGAAGAAGAUGAUCUGCUCCAUAAGUUCUCUCACACCAAAGUUGGACUGACGGGCCUUUAGUUCUUCACAUGCUCCUUGCAGCUUUUCGUGUGGAUGAGCGUACAUUUCCUAGCCUCCACUCAACUGGAACAUCCCACUGGAACUGCUGAUGGAUGAUGAAAAAGGGCUCAGUGAGCACUUUCACCCUCCCUCUGAAGCCGUGGGUGGAUCCCAUCUGACCUCACAGACUUCCAUGGGUCUAAGUGGUGGAGUACAUCACUGACUUUGUCCUUGGGUUUUGGGGGCCUUUUUCUGCUCCCUGUCUCUGUCUUCUGGCUCUGGGGACUGGGUACUCAGAGAACAGUCUGGAUAUUACAGACUGAGGCAAAGAAGGCAUUAAGUACUUCAGCCUUUUUCUCAAUCUUUGUGACUGGGUUUCCCGCUCCAGCUGAUAAAGGAUGGAGAUCAUAUUUAGCCUUCCUUUUGUUGCUAGUAUGUUUAUAAAACAUUUUUUUUUCUUUUACAGCAUAGCCAGAUUAAGUUCUAGCUGAGCUUUGGCCUUUCUACUUUUCUCCCUACAUAACCAUUUAUUUUCCUGUGCCAGGGUGGCCAUGUUCCAUGCUGGCUUGUCUUUUAGCACAUGGUUGCAACCUGCUUCUGUGCCUUUAAGAUGUCUUGCAGAAUGUUCAGCCUUCCUGAACCCCUUUGUCCUUCAGGACUGCCUUCCAAGGCCAAAGUCUCCCUCUGGAAGUCCAAGCAGUCAAUCUGCAGACCCCUUUCCCUACUUCCCUGAGAACUGAAAACUGUCUUUUUUGUGAUCACUGUGCCAAGUAAAACCUCCAACCAUGACAUCACCCACAAGUCCUUUUCUGUUCACAAAAACAGACCCAGUGGGGCAUCUUCCCUAGCUGGGUCCCUCACCAGCUGUGCCUGGAAGUUAUCUUCCACACAUUCCAGGAACCUCUUUGAUUGUUUCCUCACUGCAGUGUCAUAUUUCCAGAAGUCAGCUGUCUCUGCAAGUGGAAGGGCAGAAGAGAGCACUACUUUUUGUCCUGAUCCCUUAAGCAAUCAUCCCAAGGCUUUGAAGUCUCUGGAUUACACGUGGACUUCUUGUUGGAACAGCAUUGCUGCCUAACUGAAAAAUCAGUAAUGAGAGCUGUAUCAGAGUAAAAGAUUUCUUUUCACAUCUUUAACUCAGGCACCGAGGAGGCAGCAGAUAACCCCAAGAAGUGAGUCUAAUCAGCAUAUCAGGCCUUCUGUUCCCUUCAGAAGCAAGUGUCCCAUGCCCACGACCCUUCCUUUUUUCUAUAUGAAAGCAAUUUGGAUGCAGGGAGCAGUCUGAAGUAACCUCCAAGCAGGUGAACAGCCAUCCUUGCUGUUGUUUGGUUCCACUUGCAGAGCCUCACAUCUGUUAUCCCAGGGCGCCUGGGACAGUGAGAUAAUCACACAGGAGACCUGCCUGCUGUGCUGAGCAGAGACUUGUUGCCAUUGCCCCCUGUCCCUUCGUCCCUGUGUUCAGCCAGGUGGACAGAUGACAGAAUCUUCCCUAUCACAUGUUCUGUCUGCCUAUGGGAUCUGCCCCAGGGAAGACAAGGUGCAAUUUCAGUGUGUAUGUAGUUUUGAAAUUACACUCCAGUGUAUUUUUUAUUUGAACAUAAACUAGAUAGGCUAUACAGUGGGGCUUGAAGUAUGGAAUAGACCAUGGUUUCACUUCCAGAUUUCUUUGCCUCCCAUGAAUAUUUGAAUAGCAUCAGAACUGAAUUUGAUGUACAAGAAUUAGGGAUGAGACACAGGCUCCUGCUAUACUUUUUUUGUAUCAUUCUUAAGUAGAGUGCAGGCAAAUAUAUUUCUCUGUUGCACUGUGUAGCAGAAGUGAAGAGCCUUUAAAAUGGUGUCAGGGAAAUACAGUUUGGAGGAGACAUCUAAUUGCAAGGGCAAUAUUUUUAAGAAGCCAUUUUAGUGUUAAAAUCAAGCAUAGUAAAAAGGAUGCACUUAGGAAAGGUAUUAAAGAAAGGACUUGUGAAGCCUGCCAAUACUUGUAAAUGCAUCUGCACCCUGUAGAUUCCAAACCCCAAAUUGCUUUCAAAGGAAAACUCUUAUAUUUUUAAGACAUCAGUGAUAUAAAAACUCCAUGUUCUUUUUUAAAUGCUUUGACUUUUUUAAGGAAUGCAUUUAAACUGGAAAGCUAGCUGAGGCACAAAAAGAAUAAAAGAGAAACCAGAUAAAAGGAAGAACUGGGGAAGAAGAGCAACACUGUAUGUCAAAACAAAUAGACACCUUCAGAGCCAGAACACAAAGUCAAACAGCCUGAAAAAAGUCAUAUGAACUGCUAUCCUAAUCACUAUUUCUAUCCUUCUCUCUAAAAUGCUAUUGAAAGGCAUUAAAGCAGAAAAUAAUUACAAUUCAAAAAACAAUGGGGAAAUAUGUCUUGAUAAAGUCUUUUCCCUUCACCAAAUAAAAACGAAAUACAUUCAUACAGUAGCCAAUGUGCUUUUUGCAUUUUCUAAGGUACGUUAGGUGCCAAGUGAUACUUGAUUGUGACUGUUUUGACUAUCUUGAUUACUUUCUGCUUUUGCCAUAGGCAACCCUGGUGUUCUGUAGUUCAGUAGAAAUUUAAAGGUUGAUUGUGGUUUUAUUUUGGGUGAUUUUGCUUUGUUUUGUUUUUUUUUCCUUGUCUUCACUACAGUAGUGGAAUUGCAGAGAUGUUGCUACCCAUGUUAGGCAUGCUGCCCUGGCAGCAUGCCAGAGUCUGCUAGGCACCAAUUCUGUCCCAGUUCUCCUACAGAAAGACUUUUCUCUGGAGAGCUUAAUGGUUCACAGUAAUAAAUUUAAAAUAUUUUUGUCUUGCAUAUCAUUUGUAUGAAAUCAGUGUGAAAUCAUUAUUUGGUCAAAAUGUUCUUCAUUGGCUAAAUGACAGAAUAUGUUUAUGGUCUCUUUAAAUGUGAAAUUUUUUCUCUAUAUAUAUACAUGGUUGUCAUCCAGAAACAUUGUUAAACACUCUUCCUGAGCAUUGGAGUAUUAAAAUUUUCAGGAUUUUUACAGAAGGCUCACAGCUGCCUUCAACAGGGUAUACGGUGAUGCAGUAUAAAUGUUGUAGCCUUUCUGGAUCGCUUUUCACAUUGCCACCAAAA